UAAGUAAGUGGUGGAAAUUAAACCAAAUGGGAUAUCUUUAGUAAUUGCGAAUGAACAAGGAUUUGCUUAGCUUGACAAAUGGAGCUAUUGGGCUUUGAAUUGUAUUGUGGAAAUGUAUUACCAACAGAGGUGCAGGUGCCAGCCUAUUGAAAUAAAGCGUCAAUGAGGGUGAGAAUCCUGUUUGUCAUGUGCAGCCCUUUGUGCACGGUGUAUAUUUGCUGAGUCACACUCCUUGGCAUUGGAAUGCAAAGUGGGUGGUAAGUUUCAUGUAAAGGUAAACAUGCAAUUGAGACUGCUAGCACACAAGUACCAUGAGGGAAAUAUGAAAAGGACUUUGAAAAGAGAAUUAAAUGAGUUUGUAUUUGCUGAACACAAAGUAAACAGACUUGAUUUGCUUGGUGGGAGUGUUGCACUUGCUUGACAAGAGCUUUGGGCUGUGGGUGUAAUGAUUCUUUCUUUGCAUGCCAGUUUCUAUUUGUACAUCUGAUUACCUUUGCACAUGAAUGAUAAGUCUCCUGUGGGGGGUGGAUUGCAUGUGCAUGUAAUGAUUUGUGUUUUGAUAAAUGUGUCUGGUGUAUGUGUGUGUUCCUGUGCUUGGGGAUGCUUCCUUCCUUGGACUUACAAGCCCUGACACACACAUGCUGGCAAAAUGCUUCUGCUUGACCCG
rnacentral:rRNA from 1 species